UGCCGGUGUAGCUCAGUUGGUAGAGCAACUGAUUCGUAAUCAGUAGGUCAUGAGUUCGAGUCUCGUCACCGGCAG
rnacentral:tRNA from 1 species